rnacentral:rRNA from 2 species
UAAGGAAUAUUGGUCAAUGGACGCAAGUCUGAACCAGCCAUGCCGCGUGGAGGAUGAAGGUCCUCUGGAUUGUAAACUUCUUUUAUCUGGGAAGAAAUGUGGAUUUUCUAAUCUAUUUGACGGUACCAGAUGAAUAAGCACCGGCUAACUCCGUGCCAGCAGCCGCGGUAAUACGGAGGGUGCAAGCGUUAUCCGGAUUCACUGGGUUUAAAGGGUGCGUAGGCGGAUUUGUAAGUCCGUGGUGAAAUCUCCGAGCUUAACUCGGAAACUGCCAUGGAUACUAUAAGUCUUGAAUGUUGUGGAGGUUUGCGGAAUAUGUCAUGUAGCGGUGAAAUGCUUAGAUAUGACAUAGAACACCGAUUGCGAAGGCAGCAGGCUACACAAAUAUUGACGCUGAGGCACGAAAGCGUGGGGAUCAAACA